ensembl:lncRNA
CUGGGCUGCUGAGAUGGCGGCCGCCUCCCGAGGUGGAGAGAAGGCACGUUUCUGCUCCCAGAGGUGGGAAAUGUCGCUCAGGACGCAAUGCGGCGUUAUAUGAUAAACCACAUAUGAUACACCUGAUGGGAUUCAUCAGACUUACUUGAGCUUGUCCAAAAAUGAAACAUCUGGUUGAAGAUAUUUUUUCAGCUUAUUCAGGGCUGAAAUGAAUCAUUGUCAAGAGGUACAUGCACCUCCAGCAGGUGAUUCAUCCCUUGCCAGGAGAAAGCACUCCUACCAGAAAUGCUGAUUCAUGAUGUUGAGAGAAGAUAGAAAUGACACAACUGAGGGGAAGAGGGAGAAGGAGUUCAGCUACACGUGUUGCUCCCCAGCCUCUAUCUCUGUCUGUUCAGCCUGUUCUCUGCUGCAUUCAGUAUCAGUAGGAUACAAGAGUGGCCAGAUGCUGGCCAAUGAGACUGUCUACAGAAAAGAUAAGUAGAUUAUACAUGAACCUACCAGUAUAUUUAUGACAGCUGUGUUACAUAUAGAUCUUUUGGAGACUAAAUUAUUACUACAGCUCUAGGGAUCAGUCACUCAGAAAAGGGACACUGCUGUUGCAGAAUGCUGUAGCUUUUGUAACAGGCUAUCAUUUGUCCCUUUAUAUUGAAACCCAUUUUUAGCCCACUUUAGAGUAGGAAAGCAGCUGUGGCAUUUGUGUGUUUUUUAUUGGCAGGCAGUUACUUCUUAAUGCUGAUGAGGUUAGAGGUUAAAAGCCAAAUAUCUGUUCAAUUCUAGCCAUCUAUUACAAAGCAGAAUUUAUAUACUGUGAAAUUUGGGUUGGCAGAAAUCAUUAAAAAAAAAAAGAAGAAGAAGAAGAAGAAGGGAAUUAAGCUGUAAAGGUGUGCCAACUCUCUUACAAGAACAGACUUAUCAUUUGUGGAAAAUACACCUACCAGAAGGCAUAGUAAAAAUGGUGGAAAAGUUACUUAAGCUGCCAGUUAUAAAAUAGCUACCUUCUGUCCAGAACUGUCCAUGCCAAAAAAGAUUUACCAGGAAAGAAAUCCCUGGAAAAGAGCACUUCUGUAGAAAGGACCAAAACAUUACAGAAGUUUUUUUUUUUUUCUUUCUAUUUUACUUCUCAUGUACCUCAGUUAUGAAAAAAAAUCUCCAACAACAACAACAAAAAACUCAACAAUUUUUAAUUAAGUACAGAUGAAGAGCAGAGAGAUGUGCACCCUUCAGUAGAAGACUGAAAAGCACCCAGUGUUGAGAAAGUACCACUGAGGGACAUGGAGAUGAAACCAGCAUAGUCCAGAGUCUGUUCCAUGGCUCUCUUCUCCAGAAGUGAUUAGAUUCUGUUGCUUCAACAAGUCUGAGGGAGGUGUGUUCAAGAAAACUGAUGCAGACUUCAUUACUGGAAGCAAGUGUUGAUCAAGUGAUACAGCAGACAGACAACAUUUCACUUGCAGAAUUGCAGUACAACAAAGAAGCUACAUCUUUCUGCUAGAAGAUUCUUCCUGGAAAAGAACUGUAUAAGGAGAAAGGGAACUGAAAUAUAGCCAUGGAGCAAAGUCUGAACAAAUCUAAUGAGAACUGCAAUUGCAUCCUUGGUGAGCAAGGUAAUUAUUAUCCUAAGCAGAUAUUCUGUCAGGUACAUUUUCACCUGAGUGGUCCUUAGUAACCUUAGGAACUGGAGUUGAUACAAGAGUCCGUGCUUUCUGAGAAACCAGUACUUCCAGCAGCAAUCUAAGUGGUCAGAGCUGAGCUUGCGCCCUGCUGCCCACUUGAGACCUGCUAGCACACUGUGGUAAGGUUGCAGGCUAGCAAGAACUUGAGAUAUUUCUGCUGCAUUUUUUUAAAAAGCUCACAGAAUAAACGUGGAUAAAAAAAUCCAGUUAAGAAGAAAUGAUGAAUUAUACACAAAAGAUAAGGAAAAGUAAGCCAUUAUUGCACUGACUUUUAAAAGUGUGGAAGGUAGAGAUCUGCCUGCUCUAGGAAUCAGAUUACUGAGGCACUAAGAUGAGGAAUUAAGAACAGAACAGAUAACAGUUGAAGAGGUUAUUAAAAGAUUACAGAGCCUAGAAACUGGUAUAAUAGAACAAUGUCUACCCAACUUGUAUAUCAGAUUUCUAAAGCAAUCUAGGAGGACAUGCAAGAAGUCUUUCUUGAAUGCACACAGUAUUGCAUUAUUUGACAAAAAUAUGAUUCUGAAAAAUGAUGAAUUUCACUGAGUAAAAGUUUGCCUCUGGAGAUUAAAACUCCUAAAUAUGUUUUUAGGUUUAUGAAUGAGAGAAUCAGGUAUUCAAGUAUGCUUGAACUAGUAUGUUUGUUCAAGAAAACAAGCAUACUUAUAAUACACAGUGGAUAUAGGUGAGAGUUAGUUGUUCGUAUAUGUAUGUACACAUGCACACACACACAUAUAAAUGUAUACAAUUUUUGUAGCCUUCAAAAAUAGUAAAAAAAAACCUUUCUGCAAAGCUUAAUUUAAAAAGCCAUUAUUUCAAGUUUAUUAUGAGCCUUGCAAUACAUAGCAGAUACCAAAAUCAAAAUCUUACCUAAAAUAUUAACUGAAAUAUAUAUAUUCAUAUAUAUAUAUAUAAACUCACAAAAAGUUGAAAGCAAGAAACAAAUGCAGAGUAAAGACUCUGAAUAUCAAACAGAUCCUCCUUAAAUAAAAUAUCUCAUCAGUUCAGUUCUAAUAUGAUUAUUUUUGCAAGGCUUACCCUACUUUUUUUUUUAUUAUUAUUAACUGUUAGGAUUAGUUAUAGCACAAUCUAUUCACCCAAGGCCAUUUUGCUGACAGAAAAUGCAAAUGAGAUUAAAGUGCUUUUUUGUGUGCCUGUCUGUGACCCACUGAGGACUUGACAGUUCAGUGACUGUUUCGUUCCUGCUCCUGUAG